UCAUUCUGAAAAAAUAUAUAUGACAUAUAUAUGUAAGUAUAUACAAAUAAAAUAUUUUUUUUUUUUAAUUUGGUUCCACUAUUCAAAAAACUACUACUCAAAAAGUCCAGUGAGGCCUGACUAUCGACAUAUAAUCUGAGUUCAACACGCAUUGAUCGCCAACUGGGAUAUUUAAAUGAACACAUGUUUAAAUAUAUAUAAGUUUACCUAAUAUGCAUUAUGCAAGAUGCUAGGUACACUAAAUAUAAAUAUAGACAUCGUAUGUUUGUAUAGAAAAAUGUAAGUACAUAUAUCUAAAUAUGAAAUAAAAUAUCUACAAAGGAAUAAUAUAUACUGUUAUGUAGUCCACACCAUAUAUAUGUUUAUGUAGAUGUAUGAUGGCAAGAUAAGUAUACAACUUUGCGAAAUUUUUCGGGGAACUUAGAAAGAUAUACUCUCAAAUUGUUAGCAUGAGGAUGUGGGUCGCAUAUUCAAAGCGGCUCAUUUCGCAGCAAAAAUGUUUAGUUAGAAAGUCUAAAUUAUUGUAUGUAAACUUUUUUGAAUAUAGAAAAAUGUUAUAAAUAAUUUUACAUGACAAGGCAAGGAAUGCACACAUAUCGCUACCAUUUAGCAUUGUUCAUUAGUUGUUGUAAAUAAACAGACCUAACAUGAAAAAAUCUCAGCUGAUAUAACAUACAAAUAUUUGUAUACAUAUAUAAUUAUUAUAGGAAAGAUUAACAAAGAUAAGUAUUGAAAUUGUUUAAGCCUAAAAUAUAAAUUUUUAAUUUUUCAAAGUCAUGUAAAUUUAAUGACAUUUUUUGAAUAUCGCAUGUAUACAAUAUGUAUGUAUGUACGAAAGAAAUUUAAAAACAAUAAAUAAUACGAUUUAAACGAACAAUAUGAUGGAACGAUUUUGUACAUUUUCGAGAGUUUGCCAUACAUUAGAUGAUAAGUUUUGUUUAGAUAUAUUUCUUAAUGCUUUAGUCAUAUAGUGAAAGUUGGGGAAAUAUAAUACACAGGACUUCCAGUAGUUUUUAAUAAAAUGGGUGAGAUUACCUGAUAUUUAUAUUUUAAAAACUUUGCCCCCUACUAUCUAUUAAAACGGAUUAUGGAAGAAUGUCAAUAAACAGAUGUACCAACUUAUAUCGA